rnacentral:rRNA from 1 species
GACGAACGCUGGCGGCGUGCUUAACACAUGCAAGUCGAACGGAAAGGCCCUGCUUUUGUGGGGUGCUCGAGUGGCGAACGGGUGAGUAACACGUGAGUAUCCUGCCCUUGACUUUGGGAUAACUUCAGGAAACUGGGGCUAAUACCGGAUAGGAGCUCCUGCUGCAUGGUGGGGGUUGGAAAGUUUCGGCGGUUGGGGAUGGACUCGCGGCUUAUCAGCUUGUUGGUGGGGUAGUGGCUUACCAAGGCUUUGACGGGUAGCCGGCCUGAGAGGGUGACCGGCCACAUUGGGACUGAGAUACGGCCCAGACUCCUACGGGAGGCAGCAGUGGGGAAUAUUGCACAAUGGGCGGAAGCCUGAUGCAGCAACGCCGCGUGCUGGAUGACGGCCUUCGGGUUGUAAACCGCUUUCGCCUGUGACGAAGCGUGAGUGACGGUAAUGGGUAAAGAAGCACCGGCUAACUACGUG